UGGGUGGUGUUUCCACUAUUUUCUGCAUUUAUGGGAUCUUCUUCCCCACCAUCUAUUGGACAAACACACUUUUUCUGCAUUCAUGGACAUAUAGAUAAUAUACUUUUAUACUAUUGAUUUGACUUUGAAUGAUUUUUUUCAGUGAAUCUCAAGUUCUAUAUGAAAAAUAUCAUUGUGAAUAUUUGGUAAAUGAGUUUCACUAAAGAAAGUAAAACUAGAGUGGUACUAACACUCAAUCUAAAACCUUACCUUUCUACUUUGUGCAUGCUCUUUUUGGGCUUCCUUCACUC